rnacentral:rRNA from 1 species
GUCCUAGCCGUAAACGAUGAACACUAGGCGUAGUCGGUAUCGACCCCGGCUGUGCCGAAGCUAACGCAUUAAGUGUUCCGCCUGGGGAGUACGGCCGCAAGGCUAAAACUCAAAGGAAUUGACGGGGGCCCGCACAAGCAGCGGAGCGUGUGGUUUAAUUCGUCGCAACGCGAAGAACCUUACCAGGGCUUGACAUGCACCGGAAAACGGCGGAAACGUCGUCCUCCCGCAAGGGAUCGGUGUGCAGGUGUUGCAUGGCUGUCGU